rnacentral:rRNA from 1 species
ACCCAGUCUCGUCAGAUCACGGAAGUCAAGCAACAUUGGGUCAAGUUAGUACUUGGAUGGGUGACCGCCUGGGAAUACUUGAUGCUGUAGAUAA